UACGUAGGGGGCAAGCGUUGUUCGGAUUUACUGGGCGUAAAGGGCGCGUAGGCGGCGGGUCAAGUCGAGUGUGAAAGCCCCGGGCUCAACCUGGGAAUUGCGCUCGAGACUGGUCUGCUUGAGUUCGGGAGAGGAGAGUGGAAUUCCCAGUGUAGAGGUGAAAUUCGUAGAUAUUGGGAAGAACACCGGUGGCGAAGGCGGCUCUCUGGACCGAGACUGACGCUGAGGCGCGAAAGCGUGGGGAGCAAACAGG
rnacentral:rRNA from 1 species